rnacentral:rRNA from 1 species
UACAGAGGGUGCAAGCGUUGUUCGGAAUUAUUGGGCGUAAAGCGCGUGUAGGCGGCUUUGCAAGUCGGGUGUGAAAGCCCUCAGCUCAACCGAGGAAGUGCGCCCGAAACUGCAGAGCUUGAGUGCCGGAGAGGGUGGCGGAAUUCCCCAAGUAGAGGUGAAAUUCGUAGAUAUGGGGAGGAACACCGGUGGCGAAGGCGGCCACCUGGACGGUAACUGACCUUGAGACGCGAAAGCGUGGGGAGCAAACAGG